ACGCUGGCGGCGUGCCUAAUACAUGCAAGUCGAGCGGACAGAUGGGAGCUUGCUCCCUGAUGUUAGCGGCGGACGGGUGAGUAACACGUGGGUAACCUGCCUGUAAGACUGGGAUAACUCCGGGAAACCGGGGCUAAUACCGGAUGGUUGUCUGAACCGCAUGGUUCAAACAUAAAAGGUGGCUUCGGCUACCACUUACAGAUGGACCCGCGGCGCAUUAGUUAGUUGGUGAGGUAACGGCCCACCAUGGCGAGGAUGCGUGGUCCACCUGAAAGGUUGAUCGGCCACACG
rnacentral:rRNA from 1 species